rnacentral:tRNA from 1 species
AUUUAUAUAAUAUAAUAAUUAUAAUUGACUUCCAAUCAAUAAAUCUAGCAUUCUAGUAUAAAUA